rnacentral:rRNA from 1 species
CAAUAGCGUAUAUUUAAGUUGCUGCAGCUAAAAAGCUCGUAGUUGGAUUUCGGGUGGGAAUGGCCGGUCCGCCGUUUCGGUGUGCACUUGCUACGCCCACCUUGCUGCCGGGGACGUGCUCUUGAGUUCACGCUCGGGACACGGAGUCGGCGAGGUUACUUUGAGUAAAUUAGAGUGUUCAAAGCAGGCCUACGCUCUGAAUACAUUAGCAUGGAAUAACACGAUAGGACUCUGGCCUAUCUUGUUGGUCUGUAGGACCGGAGUAAUGAUUAAGAGGGACAGUCGGGGGCAUUUGUAUUUCAUUGUCAGAGGUGAAAUUCUUGGAUUUAUGAAAGACGAACUACUGCGAAAGCAUUUGCCAAGGAUGUUUUCAUUAA